AGUGAACGCUGGCGGUAGGCCUAACACAUGCAAGUCGAACGGCAGCACAGGAGAGCUUGCUCUCUGGGUGGCGAGUGGCGGACGGGUGAGGAAUACAUCGGAAUCUGCCCAGUCGUGGGGGAUAACGUAGGGAAACUUACGCUAAUACCGCAUACGACCUUCGGGUGAAAGAGGGGGAUCGCAAGACCUCUCGCGAUUGGAUGAGCCGAUGUCGGAUUAGCUGGUUGGCGGGGUAAUGGCCCACCAAGGCGACGAUCCGUAGCUGGUCUGAGAGGAUGAUCGGCCACACUGGAACUUAGACACGGUCCAGACUCCUACGGGAGGCAGCAGUGGGGAAUAUUGGACAAUGGGCGCAAGCCUGAUCCAGCCAUACCGCGUAGGUGAAGAAGGCCUUCGGGUUGUAAAGCCCUUUUGUUGGGAAAGAAAUCUUUCAGGCUAAUACCCUGGGAGGAUGACGGUACCCAAAGAAUAAGCACCGGCUAACUUCGUG
rnacentral:rRNA from 1 species